UGAGUUGAAGGUUCCCCUACUGACUCUCCAUUAAAAUCAAGAAAUCUGAGUUGAAGGUUCCCCUACGGUUCUGUUUUUACACUUAAACAUGUUGGACCACCAAAAGAUUAAAAUAUUAAGUUUGAACAUAAAAAUUAAUAAAUGAAAACCAACAAAUAGCAAGCAGUGAAGUUACAUAGUAAAAAAAAUGAAAUAGGAAACUCUAGAACUAAAAUAGUAAAACAUUUAACAGAGAACUUGAAAAAUAAAACAUUCACUAACCAGUAGCAGUUUUGCUAUUGUACAUAACAUUUUUGUACUCUUGAAGAUCCCUCCACUGCCGAAUUGUCUUUGAGGGGUCGGACUUGGUAACAACAGACUCUUGCAAAGAAUU
rnacentral:lncRNA from 1 species